CGCGGGGUGGAGCAGCCCGGUAGCUCGCAAGGCUCANNGCUCAUAACCUUGAGGUCGCAGGUUCAAAUCCUGUCCCCGCAACCA
rnacentral:tRNA from 1 species